AACGUAGGGGGCAAGCGUUGUCCGGAAUUACUGGGCGUAAAGGGUGCGUAGGCGGCCGUUUAAGUCCUGUGUGAAAGGCUCCGGCUCAACCGGAGAGAGCCAUGGGAAACUGGACGGCUUGAGUGCCGGAGAGGGUUGCGGAAUUCCCGGUGUAGCGGUGAAAUGCGUAGAGAUCGGGAGGAACACCAGUGGCGAAGGCGGCAACCUGGACGGUGACUGACGCUGAGGCACGACAGCUGGGGGAGCAAACAGG
rnacentral:rRNA from 1 species